GGCGAUGGGGCGUCUACCAUGCAGUCGAGCGCGAAAGGGGGGGGCAACUCCCCCGAGUAGAGCGGCGCACGGGUGAGUAACGCGUGGGUAACCUACCCCUCGGCGGGGGAUAACUACUCGAAAGGGUGGCUAAUACCGCAUGAGACCACGGGGUCUUCGGAUCCUGAGGCCAAAGGUCGCUCCGGCUUGCCGGGGCGGUCACCGGGGGAUGGGCCCGCGUCCGAUUAGCUAGUUGGUGAGGUAACGGCUCACCAAGGCUACGAUCGGUAGCUGGUCUGAGAGGAUGAUCAGCCACACUGGAACUGGAACACGGUCCAGACUCCUACGGGAGGCAGCAGUGAGGAAUAUUGCGCAAUGGGGGAAACCCUGACGCAGCAACGCCGCGUGGGUGAAGAAGGCCUUCGGGUCGUAAAGCCCUUUCGGACGGGACGAACGCUCCGCGGUGACAACCCGCGGAGCCUGACGGUACCGUAAGAAGAAGCACCGGCUAACUCCGUGCCAGCAGCCGCGGUAAUACGGAGGGUGCAAGCGUUGUUCGGAAUUACUGGGCGUAAAGCGCGUGUAGGCGGCCUUGCAAGCCAGACGUGAAAGCCCCCGGCUUAACCGGGGAAGUGCGUCUGGAACUGCUCGGCUCGAGUACGGGAGAGGGAGGCGGAAUUCCCAGUGUAGAGGUGAAAUUCGUAGAUAUUGGGAGGAACACCGGUGGCGAAAGCGGCCUCCUGGACCGAUACUGACGCUGAGACGCGAAAGCGUGGGGAGCAAACAGGAUUAGAUACCCUGGUAGUCCACGCUGUAAACGAUGGGCACUAGGUGUGGGGGGUAUCCACUCCUCCCGUGCCGCAACUAACGCAUUAAAGUGCCCCGCCUGGGAGUACGGCCGCAAGGUUAAACUCAAGGAGUGACGG
rnacentral:rRNA from 1 species